CUGUAUGUUCCACUUUGGCAUCAUCAAAUUCCCCCCUGAGAGAACUGUGUAUCAGUAUCAGCACCCUGGAAGAUGAAGGAGUGAAGCUGCUUUUUGAUGGGCUGAAGAGUUCACAUUGUAAACUGGAGAUACUCAGUCUUACAGACUGUAACCUCACAACAGACAGCAGUAAAUGUCUGUCCUCUGUUCUGACAUCAGCCAAGUCCUUCCUGAGAGAACUGCACCUCAGAAAUUGUGACUUUCAGGAUUCAGGAGUGGAGCAGCUCUCUGCUGCACUGAAGAGUUCACACUGUAAACUGGAGAUGCUCAGGCUGUAAUCUCACAA